rnacentral:rRNA from 1 species
UACAUGCAGUCGAGCGGACAGAUGGGAGCUUGCUCCCUGAUGUUAGCGGCGGACGGGUGAGUAACACGUGGGUAACCUGCCUGUAAGACUGGGAUAACUCCGGGAAACCGGGGCUAAUACCGGAUGCUUGUUUGAACCGCAUGGUUCAAACAUAAAAGGUGGCUUCGGCUACCACUUACAGAUGGACCCGCGGCGCAUUAGCUAGUUGGUGAGGUAAUGGCUCACCAAGGCAACGAUGCGUAGCCGACCUGAGAGGGUGAUCGGCCACACUGGGACUGAGACACGGCCCAGACUCCUACGGGAGGCAGCAGUAGGGAAUCUUCCGCAAUGGACGAAAGUCUGACGGAGCAACGCCGCGUGAGUGAUGAAGGUUUUCGGAUCGUAAAGCUCUGUUGUUAGGGAAGAACAAGUACCGUUCGAAUAGGGCGGUACCUUGACGGUACCUAACCAGAAAGCCACGGCUAACUACGUGCCAGCAGCCGCGGUAAUACGUAGGUGGCAAGCGUUGUCCGGAAUUAUUGGGCGUAAAGGGCUCGCAGGCGGUUUCUUAAGUCUGAUGUGAAAGCCCCCGGCUCAACCGGGGAGGGUCAUUGGAAACUGGGGAACUUGAGUGCAGAAGAGGAGAGUGGAAUUCCACGUGUAGCGGUGAAAUGCGUAGAGAUGUGGAGGAACACCAGUGGCGAAGGCGACUCUCUGGUCUGUAACUGACGCUGAGGAGCGAAAGCGUGGGGAGCGAACAGGAUUAGAUACCCUGGUAGUCCACGCCGUAAACGAUGAGUGCUAAGUGUUAGGGGGUUUCCGCCCCUUAGUGCUGCAGCUAACGCAUUAAGCACUCCGCCUGGGGAGUACGGUCGCAAGACUGAAACUCAAAGGAAUUGACGGGGGCCCGCACAAGCGGUGGAGCAUGUGGUUUAAUUCGAAGCAACGCGAAGAACCUUACCAGGUCUUGACAUCCUCUGACAAUCCUAGAGAUAGGACUUCCCCUUCGGGGGCAGAGUGACAGGUGGUGCAUGGUUGUCGUCAGCUCGUGUCGUGAGAUGUUGGGUUAAGUCCCGCAACGAGCGCAACCUUUGAUCUUAGUUGCCACCAUUCAGUUGGGCCUCUAAGGUGACUGCCGGUGACAAACCGGAGGAAGGGGGGGAUACGUCAAAUAUCUUGCCCCUUUUAACUGGGGUACCCCCGGGUUAAAUGGACAAACAAAGGGGGGGAAACCGCGGGGUAGCCAUCCCCCAAUUGUUUC